rnacentral:misc_RNA from 1 species
GAUGAAGAACGCAGCGAAACGCGAUAUGUAAUGUGAAUUGCAGAAUUCAGUGAAUCAUCGAAUCUUUGAACGCACAUUGCGCCCCUUGGUAUUCCGAGGGGCAUGCCUGUUCGAGCGUCAUUAUAACCCCUCAAGCUCAGCUUGGUGUUGGGGCCUGCUGCACUGGCAGCCCUUAAAAUCAGUGGCGGCGCCAUCUGGCUCUAAGCGUAGUAAUUCUUCUCGCUAUGGAGUCCUGGUGGAUGCUUGCCAUCAACCCCCAAUUUUUCUAUGGUUGACCUCGGAUCAGGUAGGGAUACCCGCUGAACUUAAGCAUAUCAAUAAGCGGAGGA